CAAAUGUGAGAGGCUGAAAGAAGGCCAGUGAGUGAUACCAGUAAGAGCUGAAAUUUAAGAGGAAGAAGCAUGAUCAUGCAGGACUGUAUAAAACAAAGUAAUCAGUCUGGAUUUUAUUCUACUGACAAGGGAAACCACUGAAGGAUUUUUCAGCAGUCCUUAAUCCUAGAUCAAUCAUGAGAAGGACAUCAAACAAAUCCCAGGUGGGGGACAUUCUACAAAAUAAUGCACCAGUACUCCUCAAAACUGCAAGGGUCAUCAAAAACAAGGAAAUUCUGAGAAAUUGUCAUAGCCACGAUGAGCGUAAGGAGAUAUGACUACUAAAUGCAAUGUAGUAUCUUGGAUGAGAUCCUAGAACAGGAAAAGAACAUCAGCAAUAUGAACAAACCAAACUGUCAAACACUGAACAAGUAGAAGAUGAAUGUACUUCCAAAAUCAUUUCCCUGAACUGAUGCAAACAGCUUGAUCACACUGGAGAAUGUGACCCAUGGAGUUGCCGAAAUGUAUUUUCCUGCUUUACCUCAUGCAGAAUAAUCAAACUAAGAGUUUUCUGAAACGUCACUUCACACACUGAAGAAACUGGAGGAGAUAAACUGGGAUUUCAGGGUUGGAGAUAAUUCCUGGUGGGCCACGGCGGAGGGGUAGUGUAUGUACCUGGGAGAGCGCUAGAAACUUGGGUGAGGGUCAAAGACCAGGACUUGGUGCUGAGUGUCAGGGAAUUGAUCUUCCUAGACCAUUCACACCAGGGAAUUAAGAUAUCAUCUGCAUAGGGGCGCUUGGGUGGCUCAGUUUUUGAGCGUCUGCCUUCGGCUCAGGUCAUGAUCCCAGGGUCCUGGGAUCGAGCCCCACAUCGGGCUCCCUGCUUCUCCCUCUCCCACUCCCCCUGCUCGUGUUCCCUCUCUCACUGUCUCUCUCUCUCUGUCAAACAAACAAAUAAAAAAAUCUUAAAAAAAAAAGAUACCAUCUGCAUAUGUCAUCAGGUGGCUCACUUCCCUUCUUCACCAGGUAUACUAGUUUUUUAUUGUUGCAGUAAACAAAUUGCCACAAAAUUCAUGGAUUAAAGCAACACAAAUUUAUUAUCUUACAGUUCUGUAGGUCAGAAGUCCAGUAAGGGUCUCACCAGAUUUAACAUCAAUGUGUCAGUAGGGCUGUGUCUGCUUUUGGAGGCUAGCAUAGCAGGUAGAGUCUCUCUCACAAGUAUCACUGACUCUUUUGGCAUCACAUCUCUUUCUCUGACCACCAUUGGGAAAGGGUCUCUGCUUUUAAGGAUUCAUGUGAUUAGAUGGGGCUCAUCUGGAUAUUCCAGGGUAAUUUCCCCCCUUAAGGUCUGUAACCUUAAUCAUACCUGCAAAGUAGCUUUUGUCAUAUAAUGUAACAUAUUCACAGGUUUUGGGGAACAGGAAGUAGAUUUCUUUGGGGGCCAUUGUCCUACCUACCACACCAAAUGAAGAGUAGAAUGAUAAAAGACUUUUCUGGCGUCCACCUUUCAAUUUAUCCUUAUCUUAACCUACUGACUGGACCUGGGCCAACCACUGUACACCCCAACAUAUUCUAACCCUACACUCUUCUUAUCCCUUAGUUUUAGCUCACCAGGCUUGAAAACCAUAUCAUCUGUAAUUUCCCCCAUUAUUCUCCACAAUAUCUAGGAUGUGGAAAAUUUAUAAGAAACAAAUUGCUUAUAAAUAAAUUUAUAAGAAAUAAAUUAUAAGAAAUAAAAAUGUAUAAGAAAUAAAUUGCUCAACUGAAAAAAUAUGUGUUAAUUAAUUAUCAGUAACAAUCUUACAUCUACACAUCAGCUAUCUCCUGAGGUGGGGGAGGGGCAAAUUUUUUUUUCUAAAAUUAAACAUACUCAUUAAAACAGUGCCAUGAGAUGGUCAUAAUAUAUUUAACAAUAGCAGCCAAUUGGGAUUCUCUGAAUAAAUAAAACUGAAUAGAUGGGUUUCUUCAGAGGAUGACAUUCAGAGAAUUCCCACCUCCCUUUUGGUCUGUGCUCUAGGGAGACUCAGGUGGACAAAAAAUUAUUGUAUUGUG